GAGUUUGAUCCUGGCUCAGGAUGAACGCUGGCGGCGUGCCUAAUACAUGCAAGUCGAGCGAACAGAUAAGGAGCUUGCUCCUUUGACGUUAGCGGCGGACGGGUGAGUAACACGUGGGUAACCUACCUAUAAGACUGGAAUAACUCCGGGAAACCGGGGCUAAUGCCGGAUAAUAUUUAGAACCGCAUGGUUCUAAAGUGAAAGAUGGUUUUACUAUCACUUAUAGAUGGACCCGCGCCGUAUUAGCUAGUUGGUGGGGUAAUGGCUUACCAAGGCAACGAUACGUAGCCGACCUGAGAGGGUGAUCGGCCACACUGGAACUGAGACACGGUCCAGACUCCUACGGGAGGCAGCAGUAGGGAAUCUUCCGCAAUGGGCGAAAGCCUGACGGAGCAACGCCGCGUGAGUGAUGAAGGUCUUCGGAUCGUAAAACUCUGUUAUUAGGGAAGAACAAAUGUGUAAGUAACUGUGCACGUCUUGACGGUACCUAAUCAGAAAGCCACGGCUAACUACGUGCCAGCAGCCGCGGUAAUACGUAGGUGGCAAGCGUUAUCCGGAAUUAUUGGGC
rnacentral:rRNA from 1 species